CAAUAAAAAAUAGGGUUUCGUAAAUCAAGUAAAAUUAGGGUUUAAGACAUAGUUUAUAUGAGUACAAUAUUGUACUCCAAUGGAGACUGUUUCUGUUUGAUUGAUUAAUGAAAUCUCUUAGAAAUUUCCAAUGGUUUGGUGGUGACUCAUAUGUUUGUCCUCUCUUGGUGCCGUCUCCAAGCAAGUCCAGGUUGAUAAAUUUGCAGAUUCAACUGUCAUUCUCACGGCAUGAGCCUACUCUCCACAUGCCUCCACCUUAUUCAAUUGUUCUCCAGGAGUCAGAAAAGGGUAGUUGGCAUGUUCCAACGAUCACAGGUGACGAUCUUGAGUUGAGACCCCAAGGCAGUGGUUGUGUGCCACUAGACCCAGGGAUGCAUCAUAGUCUCAUCUCAGCUGUAUGCAUGAGAGAGAGAGAGAGAGAGAGAUUUUGUACUCUUAUUCAGUCGUGUGUGUGUGUGUGUGUUUUUCAUUAUUGUAAUUUUAAAUUUCAAUUUCAAUUUUAAAUUAUUAUUAUUAUUAUUUAAUCAAGUGGCAAUACUAGGCUACACAACAAAGAAAACCUUUUCAUUUUCUUCUCAUUGGUUGACCAGACCUCCCUCUUAACUACGUGGAUUCGGUACAAAUUAAGUACAUGUGCUUUUUGGGAAGAUCUAAACUGAGUGACCCAAAUUUAAUAAAUAAAAUAUGUAGCUCAUUAUUGUAUAAGAGUUGUGAUUCUCUUCCCUUGGGUGGAAGGAAGAAGGGUAUUCCAACCACCUUUCUCUCUACUCUUUUCUUUUCUCCCUUCGUUCUAAACAUACCCUUCAUUUGAAUAGAAGGGAUAAGGGCAUUACAG